rnacentral:lncRNA from 1 species
AGAGAACAACGAAAACCAGAGCUUCUUCCGACAAUAUUACGUUCAGAAAAAUAUUUAGCAAAAUCAACAUAGCCUCAAGUCUGUAAAUUUUCUCCCGAUAACACCUUAGCAGAAGUUCAAAGAAAAGUUUAUCACUUCAGCAGUUACAGCAAGAAUUUUCUACAACAUUAUAGUAUUUUUAGUUUGUUUUAUUAGCGUAUGUAUAGUAUAGUUCAAAGUCAUACAUGAGCAUACACAUUCUAUUCACAUUUAAUGAUGUUCGUUGAUGAAGUUUUGUGGCGAUAUGUCAACAUAUAGACCUUCUGUUUUUGUAUCUAACUCAUUCGAAUCCAUUAUGGUCUUUUUCAAAUAACUAUUUUUUCUAUUUGUUGGUUACCGAGUAUCUAUUUGGUACAACAGUUUUGACAUAACUGUUCUUUUGCUUUCACUACUCUUUUUUUAUUGCAAUAUAGUAUAGUAUCAUUGGUAGGUCAGGAGUGGAGUGACUCUCUAGGUUGUUCAAUGUGAUCUUCAGGAUCAAAAGGAUGCCGGAGGAGUGGAGGUGGAGUACAGUGGUGCCCUUGUACAANNN